rnacentral:rRNA from 1 species
GACGAACGCUGGCGGCGUGCCUAAUACAUGCAAGUCGAGCGAACCUGCAGGAGCUUGCUCCUGUUGGUUAGCGGCGGACGGGUGAGUAACACGUGGGCAACCUGCCUGUAAGAUUGGGAUAACAUCGGGAAACCGAUGCUAAUACCGGAUAAUCCUUUUCCUCUCAUGAGGAAAAGCUGAAAGUCGGUUUCGGCUGACACUUACAGAUGGGCCCGCGGCGCAUUAGCUAGUUGGUGAGGUAACGGCUCACCAAGGCGACGAUGCGUAGCCGACCUGAGAGGGUGAUCGGCCACACUGGGACUGAGACACGGCCCAGACUCCUACGGGAGGCAGCAGUAGGGAAUCUUCCACAAUGGACGAAAGUCUGAUGGAGCAACGCCGCGUGAGCGAUGAAGGCCUUCGGGUCGUAAAGCUCUGUUGUUAGGGAAGAACAAGUAUCGGAGUAACUGCCGGUACCUUGACGGUACCUAACCAGAAAGCCACGGCUAACUACGUGCCAGCAGCCGCUGUAAAAC